AAUUUAAUAGCUUAAAAGAAAAGAGUAGAGUUUUGAAGAGACUUUGGUGAAAAUAUUUUCUUAAAUUA
rnacentral:tRNA from 1 species